CAUAGCUCAAUUGGCAGAGCAUUCGACUGUUAAUCGAAGGGUUGUUGGUUCGAGUCCAACUG
rnacentral:tRNA from 3 species